CUCUUUGUGCACCCGCCCACACGGUUUGCCGUGUUUUCACCCUUCUUUGUUCUCCACCGGUCUGGGCAGGGUCUGAGGACUCCGGAGAGCAAGGCAUGGGUCCGCCUCGUGCCGCAGGUUCCUGGCCCACGCCAGCCGUACCCAGUAGCACAAUGGGAUUUGAGGACACACGCCAGCUGCCUACACCUGAAGAAAGGGUGAGCUCUGAGGACUUCACAGGGGCCCCAUCCCCUCACCUAGAUGAGGGCUAACCUUGGAAUCCAGACAAAGGUGGAAGUGACCUAGAUGUGACCUGAAUGAGCUAAUCAUCUAAUGAGAGCCAGCCCUUUGUCCUGCCCACAUGAAGGGCUUUGCUGCUACGCACUGACAAGUUGGACGGCUUUUUAUUGCUUUGUUGCCAGUUAUCUGAACAUGAGAGGCUGUAAGGUGUAAUCUGCGAGCCCUGCGCCCAGACUGAACCAGGGCCUCCCUUGAACAUGAGUAUUAGACAAAUGAAAUAAGAACUUAUCUUGCCCAGACUAUAUAAUGGCUUGGAAAUGCAUAGUUUCCUGAACGAUCUCAAUAAAAUACUUUUAAAAGUACUUAAA